UCAAAGGUUAUACUAUACAGUGGGUCAAAAAAGUAUUUAGUCGGCCACCAAUUGUGCAAGUUCUCCCACUUAAAAUGACGAGAGAGGCCUGUAAUUUAUCAUAGGUACACUUCAACUAUGACAGACAAAUGAGAAGAAGAAAAAUCCAUAAAAUCACAUUGUAGGAUUUUUAAUGAAUUUAUUUGCAAAUUAUGGUGGAAAAUAAGUAUUUGGUCAAUAACAAAAGUUUAUCUCAAUACUUUGAGAUGUCAUAGUUGGGGCGGCAGGGUAGCCUAGUGGUUAGAGCCUAGUGCCUAGUGGUUAGAGUGUAGAGCCUAGUGGUUAGAGUGUAGAGCCUAGUGGUUAGAGUGUAGAGCCUAGUGGUUAGAGUGUAGAGCCUAGUGGUUAGAGUGUAGAGCCUAGUGGUUAGAGUGUAGAGCCUAGUGG